CAGCAGCCGCGGGAAUACGGAGGGAGCUAGCGUUGUUCGGAAUUACUGGGCGUAAAGCGCACGUAGGCGGCUUUGUAAGUUAGAGGUGAAAUCCUGGAGCUCAACUCCAGAACUGCCUUUGAUACUGAUAGUCUUGAGUAUGGGAGAGGUGAGUGGAACUGCGAGUGUAGAGGUGAAAUUCGUAGAUAUUCGCAAGAACACCAGUGGCGAAGGCGGCUCACUGGCCCAUAACUGACGCUGAGGCACGAAAGCGUGGGGAGCAAACAGGAUUAGAUACCCCAGUAGUCCCUGUCUCUUAUAC
rnacentral:rRNA from 1 species